GGGUGCGAUCAUACCAGCGUUAAUCCAUCGGAUCCCAUCAGAACUCCACAAUUAAGCGCGCUUGGGCUAGAGUAGUACUGGGAUGGGUGACCUCUCGGGAAGUUCUAGUGUUGCACCCU
rnacentral:rRNA from 1 species